GGGUUGUGAGGUUAAGCGACUAAGCGUACACGGUGGAUGCCCUGGCAGUCAGAGGCGAUGAAGGACGUGCUAAUCUGCGAUAAGCGUCGGUAAGGUGAUAUGAACCGUUAUAACCGGCGAUUUCCGAAUGGGGAAACCCAGUGUGUUUCGACACACUAUCAUUAACUGAAUCCAUAGGUUAAUGAGGCGAACCGGGGGAACUGAAACAUCUAAGUACCCCGAGGAAAAGAAAUCAACCGAGAUUCCCCCAGUAGCGGCGAGCGAACGGGGAGCAGCCCAGAGCCUGAAUCAGUGUGUGUGUUAGUGGAAGCGUCUGGAAAGGCGCGCGAUACAGGGUGACAGCCCCGUACACAAAAAUGCACAUGCUGUGAGCUCGAUGAGUAGGGCGGGACACGUGGUAUCCUGUCUGAAUAUGGGGGGACCAUCCUCCAAGGCUAAAUACUCCUGACUGACCGAUAGUGAACCAGUACCGUGAGGGAAAGGCGAAAAGAACCCCGGCGAGGGGAGUGAAAAAGAACCUGAAACCGUGUACGUACAAGCAGUGGGAGCACGCUUAGGCGUGUGACUGCGUACCUUUUGUAUAAUGGGUCAGCGACUUAUAUUCUGUAGCAAGGUUAACCGAAUAGGGGAGCCGAAGGGAAACCGAGUCUUAACUGGGCGUUAAGUUGCAGGGUAUAGACCCGAAACCCGGUGAUCUAGCCAUGGGCAGGUUGAAGGUUGGGUAACACUAACUGGAGGACCGAACCGACUAAUGUUGAAAAAUUAGCGGAUGACUUGUGGCUGGGGGUGAAAGGCCAAUCAAACCGGGAGAUAGCUGGUUCUCCCCGAAAGCUAUUUAGGUAGCGCCUCGUGAAUUCAUCUCCGGGGGUAGAGCACUGUUUCGGCAAGGGGGUCAUCCCGACUUACCAACCCGAUGCAAACUGCGAAUACCGGAGAAUGUUAUCACGGGAGACACACGGCGGGUGCUAACGUCCGUCGUGAAGAGGGAAACAACCCAGACCGCCAGCUAAGGUCCCAAAGUCAUGGUUAAGUGGGAAACGAUGUGGGAAGGCCCAGACAGCCAGGAUGUUGGCUUAGAAGCAGCCAUCAUUUAAAGAAAGCGUAAUAGCUCACUGGUCGAGUCGGCCUGCGCGGAAGAUGUAACGGGGCUAAACCAUGCACCGAAGCUGCGGCAGCGACGCUGAUGCGUUGUUGGGUAGGGGAGCGUUCUGUAAGCCUGCGAAGGUGUGCUGUGAGGCAUGCUGGAGGUAUCAGAAGUGCGAAUGCUGACAUAAGUAACGAUAAAGCGGGUGAAAAGCCCGCUCGCCGGAAGACCAAGGGUUCCUGUCCAACGUUAAUCGGGGCAGGGUGAGUCGACCCCUAAGGCGAGGCCGAAAGGCGUAGUCGAUGGGAAACAGGUUAAUAUUCCUGUACUUGGUGUUACUGCGAAGGGGGGACGGAGAAGGCUAUGUUGGCCGGGCGACGGUUGUCCCGGUUUAAGCGUGUAGGCUGGUUUUCCAGGCAAAUCCGGAAAAUCAAGGCUGAGGCGUGAUGACGAGGCACUACGGUGCUGAAGCAACAAAUGCCCUGCUUCCAGGAAAAGCCUCUAAGCAUCAGGUAACAUCAAAUCGUACCCCAAACCGACACAGGUGGUCAGGUAGAGAAUACCAAGGCGCUUGAGAGAACUCGGGUGAAGGAACUAGGCAAAAUGGUGCCGUAACUUCGGGAGAAGGCACGCUGAUAUGUAGGUGAGGUCCCUCGCGGAUGGAGCUGAAAUCAGUCGAAGAUACCAGCUGGCUGCAACUGUUUAUUAAAAACACAGCACUGUGCAAACACGAAAGUGGACGUAUACGGUGUGACGCCUGCCCGGUGCCGGAAGGUUAAUUGAUGGGGUUAGCGCAAGCGAAGCUCUUGAUCGAAGCCCCGGUAAACGGCGGCCGUAACUAUAACGGUCCUAAGGUAGCGAAAUUCCUUGUCGGGUAAGUUCCGACCUGCACGAAUGGCGUAAUGAUGGCCAGGCUGUCUCCACCCGAGACUCAGUGAAAUUGAACUCGCUGUGAAGAUGCAGUGUACCCGCGGCAAGACGGAAAGACCCCGUGAACCUUUACUAUAGCUUGACACUGAACAUUGAGCCUUGAUGUGUAGGAUAGGUGGGAGGCUUUGAAGUGUGGACGCCAGUCUGCAUGGAGCCGACCUUGAAAUACCACCCUUUAAUGUUUGAUGUUCUAACGUUGACCCGUAAUCCGGGUUGCGGACAGUGUCUGGUGGGUAGUUUGACUGGGGCGGUCUCCUCCUAAAGAGUAACGGAGGAGCACGAAGGUUGGCUAAUCCUGGUCGGACAUCAGGAGGUUAGUGCAAUGGCAUAAGCCAGCUUGACUGCGAGCGUGACGGCGCGAGCAGGUGCGAAAGCAGGUCAUAGUGAUCCGGUGGUUCUGAAUGGAAGGGCCAUCGCUCAACGGAUAAAAGGUACUCCGGGGAUAACAGGCUGAUACCGCCCAAGAGUUCAUAUCGACGGCGGUGUUUGGCACCUCGAUGUCGGCUCAUCACAUCCUGGGGCUGAAGUAGGUCCCAAGGGUAUGGCUGUUCGCCAUUUAAAGUGGUACGCGAGCUGGGUUUAGAACGUCGUGAGACAGUUCGGUCCCUAUCUGCCGUGGGCGCUGGAGAACUGAGGGGGGCUGCUCCUAGUACGAGAGGACCGGAGUGGACGCAUCACUGGUGUUCGGGUUGUCAUGCCAAUGGCACUGCCCGGUAGCUAAAUGCGGAAGAGAUAAGUGCUGAAAGCAUCUAAGCACGAAACUUGCCCCGAGAUGAGUUCUCCCUGACUCCUUGAGAGUCCUGAAGGAACGUUGAAGACGACGACGUUGAUAGGCCGGGUGUGUAAGCGCAGCGAUGCGUUGAGCUAACCGGUACUAAUGAACCGUGAGGCUUAACCUUACAACGCCGAAG
rnacentral:rRNA from 1 species